AUAGCAACAGCAGCGUAGCUGAACAUCUUACGGAUGGCCCAGGGCUCCAAAGGCUCGUUUCCUAAGUGAGAGAGAGCCUGGCUGAAGCUGUAUUACCAUUCAUUCUCCAGCCUCCGAAGUCUCAAAGCAUCACUUCCACCAUACUCUAACUGUCAAGACAAACACAAAGGCCCAGAAAGAAGAAUACACUAUCGAUGUUCCUUUUAAACAAGUAUUUGAGUAAAAGCGAUGUUUCCAAUGUGUGUCAGAAAGUGAAUACUUGUAUAUUUCCGCACGGUUAGAGCUGAGCUUUCCGAGCAAAUUUUACUGGGACCCGGUUGAAAGACAGGUCUUGGAAGUGAAAUGAUGACUGACUAGAUGAAACUGCCAGACUGUCUUCUGAAGUGGCUAUAAUAUUUACACUCCCAUCAGCAGUGUAGAAGGGGUCUCACUAUGUUGUCUGGAGUGCUGUGGUGGAGUGGAGUGGCUAUUCACAGAGCCUGUUCUGCUGGGACACAGAAUCACUUGCUCCAUCUCAUACAUUGAUGAUGAUUAAUUUGUAUGUGUACCUUCCAAAAAAGAUGGUUGUGUUUGAAUGGAGGCCUUCUGGACAGGAAAAUAUGGAGAGUGCGUGCUUUGGAUUCAAGACUGGGAAUGAGGGGACCAGAAACCUAUUCUGUGGCUGUUUCUUGUUAGGACUUUCCUAAGCCUCUGGAAAAGUGCAAAGUACAAUUAACAUUUGAGUCUGUCUGAGUCAUGAAGAAAUGGAGAUUACUGAAAAUAAUUCAUUUUGGUAUCUUCUUACAUCCUGAGAGACUAAUCUUUCCAAGUUCAUCUGAGGCUCCUCUUCUCCAUGACAACCUCAUCCAGGGAUUUCUUCCUGUCCUGGUGUUUUAUGACAUCAUCCUCAUCUCGCUUGUAAGGAUAAUAGCCUUCCUCCAAACCUCACACACUUUUGGAGGAGAUCACUUUUUUUAAAGUGCAUGGAAAUGUUUUGAAACAGUGAAAUCUAUAAUGAUAGGUUUCAUAAUUCUAACAUCCACACCAUAUGAAUCACAUCCUUCCUGAGAUAAUGAGCACACAAUUGCCUGGAUACCUGAAGGAAUGGAGACAGCGGCAGAAAACACUGCAGAGAGGUGGAAACAUCCGUUAAUAUUUUAAAAUCCCAUUACUGCUACCAACAAUAAUAAUGGAUGCAUAGAAAUAGAUCUGGAUUAGCUGAGCUUGAAACAGUCCAUCUCACACACACACAAAAGAAUUUCAGAUACAGUGAACCCACAUGUUGAAGCUUUCUAGUAUAAUAAAAAUUUCAACUGUUCUGUUGAAUCAUCUGCCUGAUUGGAGGCUACAGAAAAGAUGUCAUCUUAGGAGUGCUUGCUCUGAGUGAGGCUCAUCUUCAAAUCUGAAUGACCACAAGGAGAUUUGAUUAUACAUGUGAACACCUCAGAAGGCACAGCCCACCCAGAAGGCAGACAGGUCAGGCUGCUUUUUCUUCAUUGCUUGGAUUCAAUCCUCCGGGCGGCUCAGGCUCAAACAUAACUUAAGCAUGAUUAAACUUUAGAAGAAGCUGCCAGGAAGACUGUGAAAUCUUCAUGCCCAAGGAUCCCUAAAAUUAGGAGCAACAACCACUUGGCUCAGACGGUUUAUGGAGGCAAAGGUUUGGAUGGGAUUAGAGAUUUCUAAAUGUGAGUUCGUGUCCUCUGCCAGACCACCUUACUUCCACCAUUCCUCAGCAAAUCAAGAAAAACAGGAGAAAAGACAUGCCUUUCCAUAAGUUAAAUCUAUUCUGUUUUAAUUCUAUAUUAUAUCUGCUGUACAACUUCUUUUGUUUGUAACACCAUAUUGUUGCUAGUAACUGGAAAUUAAUUUUCACAUGCCUCAGCUUAGAAAAAUAAAAAGCAGCCCUGCAUCAAUCCCAA
rnacentral:lncRNA from 1 species